UGGGGAAUUUUGCACAAUGGGCGCAAGCCUGAUGCAGCGACGCCGCGUGAGGGAUGAAGGCCUUCGGGUUGUAAACCUUUUUCGCUCAUGGUCAAGCCGCAGCUUUGGGUUGUGGUGAGGGUAGUGGGUAAAGAAGCGCCGGCUAACUACGUGCCAGCAGCCGCGGUAAUACGUAGGGCGCGAGCGUUGUUCGGAAUUAUUGGGCGUAAAGGGCUUGUAGGCGGUUUGUCGCGUCUGCUGUGAAAGACCGGGGCUUAACUCCGGGGCUGCAGUGGGUACGGGCAGGCUGGAGUGCGGUAGGGGUAACCGGAAUUCCUGGUGUAGCGGUGGAAUGCGCAGAUAUCAGGAGGAACACCGAUGGCGAAGGCAGGUUACUGGGCCGUUACUGACGCUGAGGAGCGAAAGCAUGGGGAGCGAACAGG
rnacentral:rRNA from 1 species